GAUGAACGCUGGCGGCGUGCCUAAUACAUGCAAGUCGAGCGAACAGACGAGGAGCUUGCUCCUCUGACGUUAGCGGCGGACGGGUGAGUAACACGUGGAUAACCUACCUAUAAGACUGGGAUAACUUCGGGAAACCGGAGCUAAUACCGGAUAAUAUAUUGAACCGCAUGGUUCAAUAGUGAAAGACGGUUUUGCUGUCACUUAUAGAUGGAUCCGCGCCGCAUUAGCUAGUUGGUAAGGUAACGGCUUACCAAGGCGACGAUGCGUAGCCGACCUGAGAGGGUGAUCGGCCACACUGGAACUGAGACACGGUCCAGACUCCUACGGGAGGCAGCAGUAGGGAAUCUUCCGCAAUGGGCGAAAGCCUGACGGAGCAACGCCGCGUGGGUGAUGAAGGUCUUCGGAUCGUAAAACUCUGUUAUUAGGGAGAACAAAUGUGUAAGUAACUAUGCACGUCUUGACGGUACCUAAUCAGAAAGCCACGGCUAACUACGUG
rnacentral:rRNA from 1 species